AAGUCGAACGGCAGCACGGGUGCUUGCACCUGGUGGCGAGUGGCGAACGGGUGAGUAAUACAUCGGAACAUGUCCUGUAGUGGGGGAUAGCCCGGCGAAAGCCGGAUUAAUACCGCAUACGAUCUAUGGAUGAAAGCGGGGGACCUUCGGGCCUCGCGCUAUAGGGUUGGCCGAUGGCUGAUUAGCUAGUUGGUGGGGUAAAGGCCUACCAAGGCGACGAUCAGUAGCUGGUCUGAGAGGACGACCAGCCACACUGGGACUGAGACACGGCCCAGACUCCUACGGGAGGCAGCAGUGGGGAAUUUUGGACAAUGGGCGAAAGCCUGAUCCAGCAAUGCCGCGUGUGUGAAGAAGGCCUUCGGGUUGUAAAGCACUUUUGUCCGGAAAGAAAUCCUUGGUUCUAAUAUAGCCGGGGGAUGACGGUACCGGAAGAAUAAGCACCGGCUAACUACGUGCCAGCAGCCGCGGUAAUACGUAGGGUGCGAGCGUUAAUCGGAAUUACUGGGCGUAAAGCGUGCGCAGGCGGUUUGCUAAGACCGAUGUGAAAUCCCCGGGCUCAACCUGGGAACUGCAUUGGUGACUGGCAGGCUAGAGUAUGGCAGAGGGGGGUAGAAUUCCACGUGUAGCAGUGAAAUGCGUAGAGAUGUGGAGGAAUACCGAUGGCGAAGGCAGCCCCCUGGGCCAAUACUGACGCUCAU
rnacentral:rRNA from 1 species